GUGGUGAACAUCUCUACAUAGGCUUUGGCCUCAUAAUCUUUUUGUUUUUUCUUGUUUCAUGUAACAAUAAACCUUCUUAUUCAAUAAAAAGAAAAUUUUACCUUCAAGGCUUUUCUUCUGAUUUUUGUUGUGUGUUUUGUCAUCUCUCUUUGCAAUCUAAUCCAUGCAAACAUUGUGGUCGUAUAAUUGUUUGUGUCAAACCCCAUCCAUGAGUCAAGGCUAUAUCUAUU
rnacentral:lncRNA from 1 species